GUUUGGCAGCAUGGCUUCUCUGGACCAAACCAAGUGGACUACUUCUUCUGAACGUUCCCUUCCACUGUACAGUACUUAUCCUUCGGUGAAAUUCAUUCUGUCAGGUGUGGACACAGUAACCAUAUUCAGGGCUACAGUUCCCACUAAUGGUCUGGCAUGCACACUACAGCCUCAUUUUUCAACUUUGAGAAAUCUUCUUGUCCCAUUUACCUUUUUCCGGGGCUGCUUCAUCUGGACCAGGAUGGAAAUGAUGAGAAGAACCAGCACAAUCCCAGAUGAGACACCGAUGACAGUACCGUGGGUCUUGGUGAUCUGGUGGAAGAGACCGCCGGAUCUCUUCUCUAGAUAUGUAGGGAAAACACCAAUGAGAAGAAAUGGAAGUCAUACCUAAAAGUUGCAAGUCUCAAGUCUUAACCAAGUUUCAAGCAACUCUCAUGUUACUUUUUGUGGGGGAGGGGGUGUAAUCAAGCAAUAAAGUUCAUGCCAAGUCGAA